AUGCCAUGUGACCCCACCACCACUGCCCCCUCUUACCUACAGCUGUUUAAUCUGCCCCCCGCCUCCUCUCUCCUCUCUCUCUCUCGCUUCUUCUCCCCUCUUUCUUUCUUUCUCUCCCCCCACCACCACCAUCUCGAGUUGGACCUCCCCCUCACUUCCCACUCUCUCCCUCCUCUCUCCUCCUCUCUCUCUCUCUGCUCCCACUUCUGCAGACCGCUUCUCUUAUGGUCUCAAGGUAGAGCGCGCUCCUCCAUGGAUUCCCUGCGGCUGGCGAUAGCGGCCGCGCUCCUCUUCCUGGCGGCGCUCGCGGCCGCCGACGACGCGCAGCUGCUCGACGACUUCAGGGCGGCGCUGCCCAGCCGGGACGCGCUCGACGGCUGGGCCGCGCGCGACGGCGCCUGCAGGUUCCCCGGCGCGGUGUGCAGGGGCGGGCGCCUCACGUCGCUCUCGCUCGCCGCCGUCGCGCUCAAUGCCGACUUCCGCGCCGUCGCGACCACCCUGCUGCAGCUCAGCGCCGUCGAGAGGCUCAGCCUCCGCGGCGCCAACGUCAGCGGCGCGCUCUCCGCCGCGGCCGGCGCCAGGUGCGGCAGCAAGCUGCAGGAGCUCGACCUCUCCGGAAAUGCCGCGCUGCGCGGCUCCGUCGCCGACGUGGCCGCGCUCGCCGCCUCCUGCGGCGGGCUCAAGACGUUGAAUCUCUCCGGCGAUGCGGUUGGUGCCGCCAAGUCCGCUGGCGGUGGCGGUGGCGGGCAGGGGUUCGCGGCCCUGGACGCUCUCGACCUGUCCAGCAACAAGAUCACCGGAGAUGCCGACCUCCGCUGGAUGGUGGGUGCCGGCCUCGGCUCUGUCCGGUGGCUGGACCUCGCCUGGAACAAGAUCUCCGGCGGCCUCUCGGACUUCACCAACUGCUCCGGGCUGCAGUACCUUGACCUGUCCGGCAACCUCAUCGCCGGCGAUGUCGCCGCCGGGGCGCUCUCCGGCUGCCGCAGUCUCAGGGCGCUCAACCUCUCCAGCAACCAUCUCGCCGGCGCCUUCCCGCCCAACAUCGCCGGCCUCACGUCGCUCACCGCCCUCAACCUCUCCAACAACAACUUCUCUGGCGACGUCCCCGCCGACGCUUUCACCGGCCUACAGCAGCUCCAGUCGCUGUCCCUCUCUUUCAACCACUUCAGUGGCUCCAUCGCUGAUUCCGUCGCUGCGCUGCCGGACCUCGAGGUGCUCGACCUCAGCUCCAACAACUUCUCCGGCACCAUCCCCUCCACCCUCUGCCAAGAUCCCAACUCCAGGCUCCGCGUGCUCUACCUUCAGAACAACUAUCUCUCCGGCAGCAUCCCGGAGGCCGUCUCCAACUGCACCGACCUCGUCUCCCUCGACCUCAGUCUCAACUACAUCAACGGCUCCAUCCCGGAGUCCCUCGGCGAGCUUGGCCGCCUCCAGGACCUUAUCAUGUGGCAGAACUUACUGGAGGGCGAGAUACCCGCGUCUCUGUCGAGCAUUCCCGGCCUGGAGCAUCUCAUCCUGGACUACAACGGGCUCACCGGCAGUAUCCCGCCGGAGCUGGCCAAGUGCAAGCAGCUCAACUGGAUAUCCUUGGCAAGCAACCGGCUGUCCGGGCCGAUCCCCCCUUGGCUUGGGAAGCUCAGCAACUUGGCAAUCUUGAAGCUGAGCAAUAAUUCCUUCACCGGACAGAUACCCGCAGAGCUUGGUGACUGCAAGAGCUUGGUGUGGCUGGACCUCAACAGCAACCAACUUAAUGGAUCAAUUCCACCGCAACUCGCAGAGCAGUCGGGGAAGAUGACUGUUGGCCUCAUUAUUGGGCGGCCCUAUGUGUAUCUUCGCAACGACGAGCUGAGCAGCCAGUGUCGUGGCAAGGGGAGCUUGCUGGAGUUCUCAAGCAUCCGAUCCGAGGACCUUGGUCGGAUGCCGAGCAAGAAGCUGUGCAACUUCACAAGGAUGUACAUGGGGAGCACAGAGUACACCUUCAACAAGAAUGGCUCCAUGAUAUUUCUGGAUUUGUCGUUUAAUCAGCUCGAUUCCGAGAUACCCAAGGAGCUUGGGAACAUGUAUUACCUCAUGAUCAUGAAUCUUGGGCACAACCUUCUGUCUGGUGCUAUCCCGACAGAGCUGGCUGGUGCAAAGAAGCUCGCAGUACUUGACCUUUCAUACAACCGGUUGGAAGGGCCGAUACCCAGCUCGUUCUCAUCACUGUCUUUGUCUGAGAUCAAUCUGUCGAGUAAUCAGCUGAAUGGGACAAUUCCAGAGCUUGGUUCUCUUGCCACAUUCCCAAAGAGCCAGUAUGAGAAUAACUCUGGUCUCUGUGGCUUUCCACUGCCAGCAUGCGAGCCGCAUACUGGGCAAGGCUCUUCCAACGGUGGCCAAUCCAACCGGAGGAAGGCGUCCCUUGCAGGCAGUGUUGCUAUGGGACUCUUGUUCUCGCUCUUCUGUAUAUUUGGGUUGGUCAUCAUAGCCAUCGAGAGCAAGAAGCGGAGGCAGAAGAAUGAUGAGGCAAGUACCUCCCGUGAUAUAUACAUUGAUAGCCGGUCACAUUCUGGCACGAUGAAUUCCAAUUGGAGACUCUCCGGGACAAAUGCUCUCAGCAUCAACCUGGCUGCAUUUGAGAAGCCACUGCAGAAACUCACCUUGGGUGAUCUUGUUGAGGCCACCAAUGGCUUCCACAAUGAGAGCUUGAUUGGGUCCGGUGGAUUUGGUGAUGUCUACAAGGCAACGCUCAAGGAUGGGAGGGUUGUUGCAAUCAAGAAGCUAAUACAUGUGAGUGGCCAGGGUGACCGGGAGUUCACAGCGGAAAUGGAGACCAUUGGCAAGAUCAAACACCGCAACCUUGUUCCGCUCCUCGGCUACUGCAAGAUUGGUGAGGAGCGGCUGCUGAUGUAUGACUUCAUGAAGUUUGGCAGCUUGGAGGAUGUGCUGCAUGACCGCAAAAAGAUUGGGAUAAAGCUGAACUGGGCGGCAAGGCGAAAGAUUGCAAUCGGGGCAGCAAGAGGAUUGGCAUUCCUCCACCACAACUGCAUUCCACACAUCAUUCACCGAGACAUGAAGUCGAGCAAUGUGCUCGUUGAUGAGAAUCUGGAGGCGAGGGUCUCUGAUUUCGGCAUGGCGAGGAUGAUGAGUGUGGUGGACACACACCUGAGCGUGUCCACCCUUGCCGGCACGCCGGGGUAUGUGCCACCGGAGUACUACCAGAGCUUCCGGUGCACCACCAAGGGCGAUGUGUACAGCUACGGCGUUGUAUUGCUGGAGCUGCUCACCGGGAAGCCGCCGACGGAUUCAACAGAUUUUGGCGAGGACCAUAAUCUUGUGGGAUGGGUGAAGAUGCACACAAAGUUGAAGAUCACGGAUGUGUUUGACCCGGAGCUGCUGAAGGACGAUCCUACCCUGGAGCUGGAGCUGCUGGAGCAUUUGAAAAUCGCGUGUGCAUGCCUGGAUGACAGGCCGUCGAGGCGGCCAACGAUGCUCAAGGUGAUGACGAUGUUCAAGGAGAUCCAGGCUGGGUCAACGGUGGACUCGAAAACCUCGUCGGUGGCCACCGGGCUGAGCGACGAUCCAGGUUUUGCGGUCAUGGACAUGACCCUCAAGGAAGCCAAGGAGGAGAAAGAUUAG
rnacentral:rRNA from 1 species